rnacentral:rRNA from 1 species
AUGCUCCCCUUAAAUUCUCAGCCUUCACGGGGACACAACCGUGCACGCACCAUGCCUACCUCCUCUGCUCCCCGCCUCUUCCUCCUCUGCUUCUUCGCUCUGCUCUCCCACUCCCACUUCUCCGCCGCUAGGCCGCACCACCUCCGCCUCUCGGCCGAGGACGUCGCCACGGUCGAGGCGGCGCUGCCGGCUCGCCACCUCGCCAAGGCCAAGACCACCUUCUUCGAGGUCAACCGGCCGCUGCACCCGCCGCGGGGGAGCUCGGGGCCCUGCUCCACGCUCCUCCUCUCACAGUCCUUCGCGCUCACUCUCAACAAGCCGCCGGUCACCACCGCCUACUCGCCGCCCUCCUGCCUGAGCGGCGGGGGGGACGUCUCCCUCGCCGUCCUCGAGUGGCGCGCCGACUGCCACGGCGUGCAGUACGACCGCAUCUUUGGCGUCUGGCUCGGCGGGGCGGAGCUCCUGCGCGGCAGCACCGCCGAGCCGCGCCCGGGCGGCGUCACGUGGUCCGUGCACAAGGACGUCACCAAGUACGCGUCCCUCCUCGCGGCCGGCAACUCCACGCUCGCGGUCUACCUCGGCAACCUCAUCGACGACACCUACAACGGCGUGUACUACGCGAACCUCACGCUUCACCUCUACUUCCGGCGCAAGGCCCAGCUGACGUCGGCGGACUCGUCGCCCGCUGAUCUGAUCGUCCCCGUCUCGAGAAGCCUGCCUCUCGACGAUGGGCUCUGGUUCGUGGUCCAGAACAAGACCGACGUCGAGUCCACGCGCGUCGCCGUGCCGGCCAACGCUUACCGCGCGGUGCUCGAGGUCUACGUCUCGUCCCACUACUCGGACGAGUUCUGGUACAUGAACACGCCGGACCAGAACGGGCCGUUCCGCGAGGUCACUGUCUUGCUCGACGGCGACGUCGUGGGUGCCGUGUGGCCGUUCCCGGUGAUCUACGCCGGCGGCAUCAACCCCCUCAUCUGGCGCCCAAUCACCAGCAUUGGCUCGUUCAAUCUGCCCACUUACGACAUCGAGCUCACGCCGUUCUUGGGGAAGCUGCUGGACAGCAAGGAGCACGAGGUCGGGUUCGCGGUGACCAACGCGCAGAACUCGUGGUACGUGAACGGCAACCUCCACCUCUGGCUCGACCCCAAGGGCUCCACGACCACCGGCGGCCUCAUCUCCUACGACGCGCCCAAGCUGUCGGGGAGCAUCACCGCGCACUCCGUGGACGGCAUCGACGGGGAGUACCAAGCGAUGGCGAGCCGCAACAUCUCGGCCACGGGGUGGGUAAGCUCGUCGCGCGGCAACAUCACCACCACGUUCGCCCAGCGGCUCAGCUUCGCGAACUCGAACGUGGUGAGCAACAAGGGCAGCUCGCAGGUGAUCAACCAGACCACCGAUGCUCACGCCGACGUCGGCGGCGGGGCGUACGCGCAGCAGGUGCAGCAGAGCUUCCCGCUCUACAUCUUCCAGGGCGGCGACGGCAGCGGCACCUCCUCGCAGCGGCUGAAGCGGCGCGUGGAGAUCGGGUUCGUGGAGUCCCGCGCGGGCGCCGGCGGGGCGGGGACGAGCACGCUGCGGAACGAGCAGGUGGCGGAGGCGGAGGUGGUGCUCCGGGACGACCAGGUGGCCGGCGCGUCGUGGCGGAUGCACCAGGUGUACAACUACGGCGCCAGCAACGGCGGCUGCUACUUGAGGAACGUGACCAGCGUCGGCUACGACGUGCUUUUCGACCAUAAUGUGGCGUCGUGCACCGGGACGCGCCGACGUUGA